rnacentral:rRNA from 1 species
AGUGGCGGACUGGUGAGUAACACGUAAGCAACCUGCCUAUUAGAGGGGAAUAACAGUGAGAAAUCAUUGCUAAUACCGCAUAUGCUCACAGUUACCACAUGGGUACCAGUUGAGGAAAGGAGCAAUCCGCUAAUAGAUGGGCUUGCGUCUGAUUAGCUAGUUGGUGGGGUAAUGGCCUACCAAGGCGACGAUCAGUAGCCGGACUGAGAGGUUGAACGGCCACAUUGGGACUGAGAUACGGUCCAGACUCCUACGGGAGGCAGCAGUGGGGAAUAUUGGGCAAUGGGCGAAAGCCUGACCCAGCGACGCCGCGUGAGGGAAGACGGUCUUCGGAUUGUAAACCUUUGUUGACAGGGACGAACAAAUGACGGUACCUGUCGAGGAAGCCACGGCUAACUACGUG